CCUACGGGUGGCUGCAGUGGGGAAUAUUGCACAAUGGGCGGAACCCUGAUGCAGCGAAGUCGCGUGAGUGAUGAAGUAUCUCGGUAUGUAAAGCUUCAUCAGCCGGGAAGAAAAUGACGGUACCUGACUAAGAAGCCCCGGGUAACUACGUGCCAGCAGCCGCUGUAAUACGUAGGGAGCAAGCGUUAUCCGGAUUUACUGGGGGUAAAGGGGGCGUAGACGGGUGUGCAAGGUUAGAGGGAAAUGUGGGGGCCCAACCCCCGGAGUGCUCUUGAAACUGUAGAGCUUGAGUGCGCGAGAGGUAAGCGGAAUUCCUGGUGUAGCGGUGAAAUGCAUAGAUAUUAGGAAGAACUCCAGUGGCGAAGGCAGCUUACUGGACUGCAACUGACGUUGAAGCUCGAAAGCGUGGGGAGCAAACAGGAUUAGAUACCCUUGUAGUC
rnacentral:rRNA from 1 species